AGAGCUGCCUAUUCCAGGAUUUCUCUAGAGGCUGGCAAGAGUCCUGAACCAGUUGUCAUUUCUGUCUUGCUGGUCUGACAGGGUUGGGAAGGUCCGAGCCUUGGGACCUGCUUUCCUUUCUAGAUA